rnacentral:sRNA from 1 species
UGCUGUCUAUAUAUUAAACACCAGCUAGAAAGUUUGCGUGUUUAAGUCCUCGUUACGUAGUGUUAUAUAAAGUAGUCCUUCGUCUUGUAAGAUCUAAAAUAUUGUCUUUUUCUCCGCUACAUCCGCCUAAUUACAGGCACUUUUAUUUUUUAUCUACAGGAUAUCGAUUAUGUCUAACAAAACGACUGGUACAGUAAAAUGGUUCAACGAAACUAAAGGUUUCGGUUUCAUCCAACAAGAAAACGGCCCUGACGUAUUCGCACACUUCCGUGCAAUCGAAGGUAACGGUUUCAAAACGUUGACUGAAGGCCAAAAAGUUGAGUUCGUUGUAACUCAAGGCCAAAAAGGCCCACAAGCUGAGAACAUCGUUGCUCUUUAAUUCUUAAUUAAAGCAGCACAUUAAAAAGGGGCGAUACCGCAAGGUAUCGCCCCUUUU